CAGGGCGAAGUCAGAGGAAACUCUGGUGGAGGCUCGUAGCGAUACUGACGUGCAAAUCGUUAGUCAGACUCGGGUAUAGGGGCGAAAGACUAAUCGAACCAUCUAGUAGCUGGUUCCCUCCGAAGUUUCCCUCAGGAUAGCUGGAGCACGAAGGAGUUUCAUCAGGUAAAGCGAAUGAUUAGAGGCAUCGGGGGUGAAACACCCUCGACCUAUUCUCAAACUUUAAAUAGGUGAGAUCCGUUUCGGGGUUGCUUGAUUGAACCCCCGGCGGGG
rnacentral:rRNA from 1 species